UCACAUGAAGUUCAAUGAAGCAGCAUGGUAAACAGGUGAGUAUGGAAUUCAAAGUAGCAGGUUUGCGCUUAGCUUGAUCAUUCACAGUUCUUUGUUUGUUGCAGGUUCUGACUGGUAUGGUGCAGAUGAAGUAUGGGCUGGAUGUGAAGAAGGAAAACAUGAUGCAUUAAGAGUCGGGGAUGUAAACUUUUUAAAUUGGAUGAACAGGAUAAACUGUACUUUUUUUGUCCUCUGGGAAACAUGUAAUUAUCUUGUGUAGCUUCCGAAGGGCAGUACUAAAUGAAAAAAAUAUGAUCUUUAAACAAAAUAAGAAAAACUUGCACAUCAUCUUCUUGUUCAAAAGUUUUCACCCCCCGACCCUCAAUGCAUUGUGUUUCCUUCUGGAACAUCAGUGAAUGUUUGCAGCUUUAUUAUUAGUUGUGUUUGUGUCCCUCAGUGUGAAAAGAUGGAUCUCAAAAUCAUACAGUGACUGCUGGAAAGGGUUCAAAUAUGCAGAAGAUGCUGGAAAAUCAAAGAAUUUGCAGGACAUGGAGGAUUUUUCUGAAGAACAGAGCUCAGGACAAACAAGGGACUCAUGAACAACCAUCACAAAACAAACAACCAGUCGUGGAUCAUCCAGGUAACCACACACAGUAUUAAGAAUCAAUGGGAUGUAAACUUUUGAACUGGGUCAUUUUUAUAAAUUCAGCUAUUUUUUGUCUUGUGGACUACAUGUAAAAUGUUAUGUGGAAUAGUGUCAUCUAAGGAUAGGCUAUAUGACUCUCUUGCAUUGGCUAGGGUUAGUGUUUAUGAGUCCACUAUCAGACAAACAUUGAACGUGAAUGGUGUGCACUGAAUAGCAAGGAGGAAGCCAAUGCUCUCCAAAAAAGUUUGCCAAAGACUAUGUUGAUGAACCAGAAUGUUUUGUGCACAAAUGAGUCCAAAAUAACACUUCUAAGUUUAAACAAGACAUUUACAUUUAGUGAAAACCAAACUCUACUUUUAAGGAUACUGGAAACAGCAACAUAAAAGUGUAAUUAAAAAAAGACAAAUAUUGUUAUUAUAACUUUUUUUAAUUGUCCCAAACUAACUUAUCUCCUAAAGCUUCUGAAAUGUUUGUACAAUACAAUGAUAAUCAACUUUCCAAGAUUCUCACCAGGCAAUGCUUUUGUAUAUUGACAUAUAACUAAUCACAUGUCCUGGGAAUGCCAUGUAAAUAUGACCUAAUGUUCAAAUAAAGCUACAAAUAAUAACAAUAAAUCUAGUUACAAAGCUAUGAGUAAUAGCAAAUCCAGUUUUUAACUACUUUUCCUAAAUUGACCAAAGAAAUAUGCUCACCCUUACAAUGUGCUGUUGGUCAGUUUGGCUUUAUAAUUGCUCCAUUUAAAUGUAUUACAUUCACAGUUAUAAAAAUAGCACAGUUUCACAAUAAAUAUAUUGUCUGUCCUGAUCUCCUCAGGUACAGGCUGUUUAUGGUGGUUGCGUAACGGUUCUCAGGAUGAAAUGCCUUCUGUCCAUCAUCACCUUUUUAUUUCCUUCUAAAUCGGGCAGCAAUUCGGCAAUCAUCUUUGACAAGCCCUCUCAUAUGUCUCUUGCUUUAUCUCAUUCUCUCAGCCAGGGUCAAAUGUUUCCAGUGCUCUCCUGUCUGAGUGUGUGGGCACGUCUGAGUGCUUCAGCUGGAUUUUGGUGCUCCAGAAUCCAUCAGUACAAUUGGCCUGUCCUAUAGUUGCAGACAGCUUUGAUAUAUUAACUGUAAAACCCAAUACAGAUGAGUGACAGGAGUAAUUGUCUUCCAGCUUUAAUGAUAUUAUCGAUAUUUUAAUUUUCACUAUACAUGACUGCUUCACUUGCGUCAUUCUGUCAAUAUUCAUUCAGAAUCACAUGAGAAAAAAAUGUUUUGUGAGACCGUCUGUCCUCCUUUCUCUCACUGGACCCUCUUGCUCAGUCCCAGCGGCUGCUAGACACCAUAACUCAGGGUCAAGUGCUCAGUUAGACGCUAAAUAGACUGACAACUAUGAUAUUGCUCUCUUCUCUUUGUCGAAGCCUGUUCGGGAUCUCAGAGGGGCAUUUGAGCUCUGAUGGAUGGGACCAGUCGCCUGUGGUAUAAAGUUCAAAACCAGUCAAAACACAUUCAAACUGCCCAGAAGACUCCUGAAAAUAACCAUGUGUGACUCUGAGGUUGACAGAAACUAUAAGUCAGGCAUGGUGCUGACACACAGUGUAACUGCCGUGAUGGCCACAAACACCACAGAGAGGCAGGCAAAGAUCUUCCCAGGAAUCCCAGAGUGAGGGUUCUCCACCAUGUCUCUGAGGCUGUGCAUGCACCCAGCCAGACGACCCUC